CUCGACCCGACUUUCCCUGGCAGCCGGACUCCCAGUCCGCGGGGUCCGGGCUACGACGCCCCGCCAAGGGUCAGGGAUCUCCCAGCAGCUACAGCAGCCAACUCCUUUCCAGGAGACCAGCGAGUGCCCAGGAUGACCUAGCGACACCGCGAAGAACAGAUUGGGGCUCACUCUAGUGCCGAGGUCUGCAAUUGCUUGGUGGAAUAAAAUCUUCCAAAAGGUCUCAAAAGGAAUGCAGUUAGAUUGGAACCUACUUCCUUUUUCAAUCUACACUAAAAUCCCGGGAAAGUGAAAACGCUUCCUUCGCGACCUCUUUGCGCAGAGCUGGUUAGACCCCGGAACCUCCCCAGCCGUGGUUACGAACCCCAACUCCCGCCUCCGCCGGCGGACACCCCGGACUCCCAGGUCUGCGGGACAAAAGGCAGCGGUGCCGUCUCGAGCGCUUUCCCACGCGGUCCACUGAAAACCUAAUUGCCUGAAAGAAGUUGCACUUCGUCGCCAGAGGAACAGCCGAGAGCCAGAGAUGGAGAUUUCAGAGUCCGGUGCUGCCACGUUUUUACUGAUCCUUUAGCCCCAACGGAACGAAACAGAGGUGCCUUUUUGCUACCAGCUAAUUACCUUCACAUGAAGAAGAAAUGUAGUACAAGCUCCACGUUUGUCCUCUCAAUAGUCGAUCCUCCCUAACCCAGUACCCAAAGGCUCUAGAAAAUGAGGGGGAUGGGUUCCCGAAAACAAAAAAAGCUUUCCGCCAGCACUGCCUCUGCAUCAAGUCCACCCAAGCUGGGAUUUGUAUAUUAGAUAUAGAAUGGGCCGGAGUGGGUGGUAA